CCCCCGAAAAGGCACCCCGCCCCGCGAGGGCGGUCCGCAAAGCCACGGGUCUCGGUCCGACCGAGAUAGCCGGGUUGCCGAA
rfam:Armatimonadetes bacterium CSP1-3 XT14_C0048, whole genome shotgun sequence.